CAGCCGCCACGGGAAUACGUAGGGUGCAAGCGUUAAUCGGAAUUACUGGGCGUAAAGCGUGCGCAGGCGGUUCGUUAAGACAGAUGUGAAAUCCCCGGGCUCAACCUGGGAACUGCAUUUGUGACUGGCAAGCUAGAGUCUGGCAGAGGGGGGUGGAAUUCCGCGUGUAGCAGUGAAAUGCGUAGAUAUGCGGAGGAACACCGAUGGCGAAGGCAGCCCCCUGGGCCAACACUGACGCUCAUGCACGAAAGCGUGGGGAGCAAACAGGAUUAGAUACCCCUGUAGUCCCUGUCUCUUUACA
rnacentral:rRNA from 1 species